rnacentral:tRNA from 1 species
GCCGCAGUAGCUCAGCCAGUCAGAGCGCGUCUCUGGUACAGACGAGGUCGAGCGUGCAACUCGCUCCUGUGGCU